rnacentral:rRNA from 1 species
CCUACGGGAGGCAGCAGUGGGGAAUUUUGGACAAUGGGCGCAAGCCUGAUCCAGCCAUGCCGCGUGUGUGAAGAAGGCCUUCGGGUUGUAAAGCACUUUCGGACGGAACGAAAUCGCGCGGGUUAACAGCGCGCGUGGAUGACGGUACCGUAAGAAGAAGCACCGGCUAACCACGUGCCAGCAGCCGCGGUAAUACGUAGGGUGCGAGCGUUAAUCGGAAUUACUGGGCGUAAAGGGUGCGCAGGCGGCCCCGCAAGUCAGGCGUGAAAUCCCCGGGCUUAACUUGGGAAUGGCGCUUGAAACUACGGGGCUGGAGUGUGGCAGAGGGAGGUGGAAUUCCACGUGUAGCGGUGAAAUGCGUAGAGAUGUGGAGGAACACCGAUGGCGAAGGCAGCCUCCUGGGCCAACACUGACGCUCAUGCACGAAAGCGUGGGGAGCAAACAGGAUUAGAUACCCUGGUAGUCCACGCCCUAAACGAUGAUGACUAGUUGUUGGAGGAGUUAAAUCCUUUAGUAACGCAGCUAACGCGAGAAGUCAUCCGCCUGGGGAGUACGGUCGCAAGAUUAAAACUCAAAGGAAUUGACGG